rnacentral:rRNA from 1 species
UACGGGGGGGGCAAGCGUUGUUCGGAAUUACUGGGCGUAAAGGGCUCGUAGGCGGCCAACUCAGUCAGACGUGAAAUCCCUCGGCUUAACCGGGGAACUGCAUCUGAUACUGGAUGGCUUGAGUUCGGGAGAGGGAUGCGGAAUUCCAGGUGUAGCGGUGAAAUGCGUAGAUAUCUGGAGGAACACCGGUGGCGAAGGCGGCAUCCUGGACCGACACUGACGCUGAGGAGCGAAAGCCAGGGGAGCAAACGGG